AAUUGAAUGCUGGCAGGGAAGCACAGACAGAUACUGUAUUAGCUCUCUGUCACAUCUGAUAAGAAACCACUGGCCAAUGAAUUUAAUUAAAGCUCACUCAGAACUCGUGUGGCUGAUCUACAGGAGAGCAGGAGAUCUACCAAACAGAUACUGUAUGAUGUACAAAACAAACAAGCUUCUAAAGGUAUCAGAGAAUAUCUUCUCUCGUGUCCUUUUGAGAGGUUAUGUCUUGCAAAGGUUGACUAUGAACAAGGGGGAAAAAAAUGAAAAUACUUACUUGCCAACCAUCGCUAAAUAUAUAAGCAUGCAUGAUUUUGAACUGACAAUGUUUAAUUUUGGAACAAAAUUGUUCAAAUGUCACAUGACACUGCAGAAUGCACAGGAAGUGGUUCAUUGUAGUUUACUGUUGCAGCUGUCUGUAGGUGUAGCCAAUAAAAGGAUAGGCGCCCGACCAGGGUUUCACAAGGUACUGUGGAGGUUGCCUAUGGGUGUCACAUUGCCUAUUACCAUGAAAAUAAUCACCCUUUUUCUAUGUGCUCUUGCACAUCAAGUCGCAAGCGAAACUAAUGAUAUUUUUCCUGCGAAGAUCCUGACCCAACAGAAAUCUUUAAGCGAGAAUAGUGACCUCUACGUUAUCUGCAGCACAUUUGGGUUGAAGAAACAGACCGAGGUGUAUGUUUAUUUAUGUAGGAAUGAUGUUGGAAUGAUUAAACAUAUCCAGAAGAAAGAACAUAAUGAUACCACCUUCAUCAUAAACAGAGUCAGUCUUAAUCACAGUGGAAAUUACAGCUGUGUUUACUCAACACGUGGUUAUUCGCCUCCCGAAGUAACCAAGAAAGCAUGCAACCCCAUAGAGAUUCUGGUUAUAGCCAAUUUUCUCCCUGCAGAUAUUUCAGUAGCCGGGCCGUUGGCUGUCAGUGAGGGAGACGAUGUUGAAUUCAGCUGUACUGUGUCUGAAACCCUGCAAACACUGGGUGGAUGUCAAUUGAUCCAUUCUUACCUUAAGAGGAAUGAGCUCAUCCUCCAAGUGCAAACAUUUAAUGUCACACAGAUGGAGGCGACUUUCACCAUCCAAGACGCAGUCACGAGGGACUCGGGUAAUUACAGCUGUGUGGUGCUGCCAUCUAAAUGCAUCCAAAAGCAUGAGAAAACACUCUAUGGAAAUAACGCAGUAUCACUCGAGGUCAAAGAGAGUUUGUUUCUCCGAGUGAUUGUCUCUUGUGGAGUGAUAAGCAUGAUGAUAACACUGGGUCUGUGCCUGUGGUGCAUCAACAAACCAGGUCAGAUGACUGGAGGCAAAUCACUCAAUUUUAAAGUUCAAAUUUUGAAUUGUACUUUGGUUCUCCUGUCCUACUGUUACUAAUUGAUAAAAGAAAUGCUUAUACAUCUCUAUGAAUUAUAUUUCCUCAGUGUCUUUAGAUAUACAUUUAUGAUCCUGAUCAUACCGAAUGCAUGGUUUACUUCAUUUCACAUUUAUUCUUUUUUUCUAUUUCAACAGGCGGCUUAGCUUUGUGUAAUCAACGGUGAGUGUUAAUCCAAAAGAGCAGUGGCAAACCUAUUAACAGAUAGCAUAGCCUCAUAAACUGGGAGUCACUUGGAGUUUAUUUUUUCUCUGUUAUUUGUGCUAGACUAGAUGCAGGAUAUUUACACAGGGAUCUAAAAUAUUCUGGAUGCACAACUGAACAAUCAAAUGAUGCUGGGCUGAUUGAAGGGUUUGCAUAUACAGUAUAUCUUGAAUUGUGUUUUCUUACAGUGCACCAAGUGAGCAGGCAAAUAUAGACAUGCUGGAGGAACAGCAGGAGCAGACAGAAGAGGGUCUGGAAGCACAAGAUGGUAUGUUGAAAUUGGAAUUACAGUAAAGGCAUACUCUGGGGAGACUGCAAUGAAAUUACCUAUGAUGACUUAGAAAGAAAACACAAUCUAGCUACAAUAUGGUCUGGGCAAAUACCUCCCUAGUUAUUAUUUUUUUCUCUUUACUUUUUUUCUCUAAUGCUUCAGAUAUUUUCAUGUGUAUGUCUCUCUUCUCUCUUUUACAAUAUUUUCUUUUUCAAUUAUCAGGAGAUUCUUUCAGCACCGAGGAAGAAGAAGGGUACGAAUAAAAAACUAUUCUAAUACAAAUCCUUACUUUAUAUUAAAUCAUGUGGGGAGUAAUGCUUGCUAAAAUAUGCGUGGUAUAUUAAAAAGCUAUAAUGUUCUAAACUCUGAGAAAUAAUGCAAUUUGUUAAAUGAAACUGACCUCUGUUACUGAAAGAGGAAACAUUCAAAUAUGAACUGAACAUUUUCACUCACUUUGACUUAUAUUUUAAAAGUUUACUUUUACAGUUCAUCUUGAGAAAGAAAAGAUAAGUACAAUGGAUUUAAAUAAAAUCUUUCCAAAUACAUAAACCAUAAACUUACUUUUCACAAAAGACUUGCUGCAACAUCGUUAAUGGUGCACAAUUCUUAACAACAACACUAUAUUAUUAUUAUUAUUAUUAUUAUUAUUAUUAUUAUUAUUAUUAUUCAUUGGCUACAUUUUCUCAGGUAUCAGAAUGUUGUGAAUGCUGAGGACAGCACUUACUCUGAUGGUUUGGAGGGAGUGUACAGUGUUGCAGGUAAGUGAUGAACUACUUUGUUCUAUUAGAGGUUUUUAUUCUCUAUUGAAGGUCAUAUUCAAGACUAUGAUUUCUAACAUGCAGAUGACAGUGAGAAUGACUACGAUGACAGUGAUCACAUGUGUGCCAACUAAUACAUUUUGAUUGAUAAAGGUACUGUAAAAUGUUUAGUUAUCAUUAUAAUGAAGGGGCAGAGUCACUCAUUUGUUUUUAUUGUUUGGAUGCUUUGUUUCUCUUUGCAUACAAAGCUCAAUAACAAGACAACAUGGGCAGAAAGAUUAUAAAAAGAAUAAAACAUGUCAUAAAGUCAACUGGUUAGAAGGCAUUACAUAGUAUGAUGCUGCCUGGUUCAGCAGAGCAGGUUUGUCUAUCAGUUAGUUCAGUGCAUGUUACAGGAAAACCUCAUCUUAAUUUGUUACAAUAGGACAGACCUGAAUAGCAUUUUGUGGUUAGCUUUCUGACUCACAAGGGCCAAUUCUCUCAUGACAAAUUAAAAUAAUAACCAAGAAAAAAUGCACGCCAUCUAACUUUGAACUUCUCAACCACAGAUGAUUCACCUGCAAGAUCAAGUUCAACACAUGUGUAUGCCAGGUCCUCCAAAUAUAAAUGUUAAUUUAUAAUAUGUUAAUCGGAUUUUAUUGUCGGAUACAUGAAUAACUGUAACGCACCCCUGCUUUGUUCUGUCUGUGUCACAUUUCAUUAAGGUAAGGUAAUGUUAAAAUGUAUAGUGAAUGAAGAAGGAACAUUUGAACUCCAUUAUUAGCCUGAUCAGUAGUAUAUGUGGAGGAGGAACUGCUCCUUGUGGUCAAGGGUAAAAGAAUGUCCUCAUACAUUAAAUUUUUACAUGGAUCCUUUCUUUGUUGCAGAAGGUUUCAAUUUAUUUUUGCCUAAUAAAUGAAAUUAGUGUGUUCCUGCCCCUUUGUGCAAUCAGUGCUUUAAAGAAUGUACUACAGUUUGUUUUCAAUAACAAACACUGCAAGUGUUGUUGUAGUGAUUGACUGUACUUUGUAAUAAACAGUAUAGAAAACAAAUCUCUCUAUUUAACAUUUAAUCGCAUUUGUUCAUUGAUGUUAAUACUGUCCAAACAUGUAAAGCAUAUGAUAAUAUAACUAAAACUGAAAUAAAUGGCUGAUUUUGUUAAAUCAGAUAUUUGAAAUAUACUUGGACAUACUGUAUAUGAAAACCAUUUAAGAAGAGCCUGAUCAAUGGUGGAAAAGCACUCUACCUUUACUUCAGUAAAAGUAUCUGUACCACAAUCUAAAAUUCUACUUAGGUAAAGAGUACAGAAGUAGCUAAAUGUAGGCCACUGGAAAAUAUAAAUGGUAAAAGGUUCUGGAGGGGAAAAAAGCCCUCCUGAGUGCUACAUUAUUAUACUUUAAUUUCUAGAUUAAUACUGAUGCAUCAAUGCAAAAACAUUUUCCUUUUGUUGAAUAAAAAAGAUCUGCUAAACAAAUCUGUAUUAUUUGAUUAUUUGUGAAACAUUGGAUAAUUUUACUUCCAUAGUCCUCAAACACUUCUUUAAAUUAUACCAUGUUUAGUAUGUGCCAAGUAAAUGUAGUUCUGAUGACUACAGCUACAGAAUAAAAGCUUAAUUACUUACGUUGUUUUAACUAAAAAUUAAAAAUAGAAAUAUUCAGUCUUGCCAUUAUCAAAUUAUAGACUAAACACUCGUAGAUUUCUUUAAAGAGGUUUAAAUAAAUGUAUUUAUUUAUUUUGAGGCUUUGGGUUUAGGAACACUACAUAGGCAUGUGGGGAUUAGGGUCUGUGUAUGAAGAGGAGAUUUAACUAAACACAGCAUCAAAAGGGUCUUACCCAAUAUCCAUGUUACACAUUGAUAAUGAAUUGCACUUUCCCCCUCUGUCUUUGUUUUCUCUUUUUGUAAUGAUUAGACACUGUCUAAUCAGUAAUCUAUAGUAGCUGCCUGCACCCACUUUUACCCGAGUGUACCCUUAGGAAAGUUUAACCAAAGAGUUCAAUGACCGUAUCCGAUAAGAAAAGCACUCAAUCACUAGCACUGACUGUAAUGACUUAGCAUGUUCUUUAGCUGAUGAGCUACCACUCAAGAGGAGCAUCCAGUAUAUUUGUCACUGCUGCUUUCCUCCCGUCUCUUAUUAGUGCUGCAGCUCCUGUGGGAAAUACAAGGAGGAGCUGAUGUAAAGAAUGAAGUUACUACUUUGUCAUCAAAAAUAGGGAGCAGAUGUGUGCAGUGCCGCACACUGAGAGCCAUGUUAACCUUUUUGUUUUGCUUGCUAUGCAGUUUUUCACUGUAAUUUCCAUUCUGAACAUGUGAAGUCAUCAUGAGAAUUUCCUUUGGAGGAAAACCUAUCCCCAAGAUUGAAAAUGUAAUAAAAUUGUAUCUUAUUAUGAGUGAUUGUAGUAUUGCCAGCCUGCAUUGAAAAACAAACUUGUAAUCACAUAGCAAAGUUCUCUGUUAACUUCUAGUCAGCACUUCUAAAUGCUUGCUGUGCCUGCUAAACUUGAAUCUGGAUUAUGUAUGUCACACUGGUUUUCACCCUGCCCUUCCUUGGAAAGGGGUUGGCCUGUUCUCAUUUUUACAUGGCUUAUCCUUCAUGAAAAAAGAAAGAACAAAUUCUUGUUAUUCAGUGAAUGCUCAGAUAUGCAACCCAACCAUAUUUCCCCUGCUGCACCUCAGGGGGGAUUAGCCAGUGGACAUAUCUGUUUUAUGGUUGAAUUUUUGUUUCAUGGAAAUUUGAAAAAAUUGAUGCUAUUGAAGCAGGCUUUACAUUCAGAAAUAAUUCAGACUUGUGACAGAUAGUGAUUUAAAUUACCUCUAUUUUCAGUUAAUUGAUCCUAAACAUGUUAUGUAGAAAGAGCAGCACAG
rnacentral:lncRNA from 1 species